ACGGCAAACAUAUAAAUCUAGCGGUUCUCGUCUGAUGCCCGAAGUCAAGCAACGUUGGACCCGGUAAGUAGUUGCACGGCUGACCGGCUGGGAAUGCCGGGUGUUGCGGCC
rnacentral:rRNA from 1 species